rnacentral:ncRNA from 1 species
UUAAUUACAGCAUUACUGCGUAGUACGAGAGGAACCGCAGGUACGGACUCAUGUCACAAUACUUGUUCGAAUGAACAGUGCUAUGACGGUACGUCCGUUGGAUUAUGCCUGACUUGUCAUGUUCUGUAUAACACUUGUCAAUGUUCUGUAUAACAUAGGGGGGGGGGCUAUAGAAACAAAAAAUUACCUUAAAUAAGGGAAAUUGUUUUAUAGAAACAAUAUUUUCUUUAGACAAUCAAAUAUCUUUUGAUCUGCAUCUUAUGUUGCUAGUUGAGUCCUAUGACUAUAUCAGGAUCACACUACACACUUUUUAAUUUUUUUUUUAUCCUUCGAUGUCGGCUCCUUAUAUCAUUGUUAAGCAAAAUUUAAUAAGCGUUGGAUUGUCAUCUAUGUAAGGGAACGUGAGCUGGGAUUAGACCGUCGUGAGAUAGGGUAAAACUAACCCUACUAAUGACAUGUUUUAAUUACAGCAUUACUGCGUAGUACGAGAGGAACCGCAGGU